rnacentral:hammerhead_ribozyme from 1 species
AUCCAGCUGACGAGUCCCAAGGACAAAACACGAGUCCUGGAU